UUUGACAGGCGGAGCGGGCUGUGCCCGCUUCCGCUGCGUAUAAUUAAAUAAAAGAGACGAAACGUCUUUAGAUAACCUGCGGUUUCAAGGGGUCCUGCGCAAUGGACGCCCGUGAACCUUGUCAGGACCGAGAGGGAGCAGCAAUAAGCGGUUCCGCCCGUGUGCCGCAGAUCCACCUCUUGAUGGACUGCAGGUUAUCUAAAGGCGUUUUUUAUUUUUUUGAA
rnacentral:SRP_RNA from 1 species